rnacentral:rRNA from 1 species
AUGGCCAGAUCCAUGUUGGCACUGUUCGUCAUCCUAACUGCGGCCGGCUGCUUCGCGCCGGCCGCGCAGGCGUGGUGGUACCAAGGAACGGCCACGUUCUACGGCGGCGCCGACGGCUCCGGGACAAUGGGCGGCGCGUGCGGGUAUGGGAACCUGUACAGUUCUGGGUACGGGGUCAACAACGCGGCGCUGAGCACGGCGCUGUUCAACGACGGCGCGUCGUGCGGACAGUGCUACCUCAUCACCUGCGACACCGGCAAGUCGAAGAUGUGCAAGCCCGGCACGUCCAUCACCGUGACCGCCACCAACUUCUGCCCUCCAAACUGGGCUCUCGCCAGCGACAACGGCGGCUGGUGCAACCCGCCGCGCCCCCACUUCGACAUGUCCCAGCCCGCCUGGGAGACCCUCGCCAUCUACCGCGCCGGCAUCGUCCCCGUCCUCUACCAGCAGGUGAGGUGCUCGAAGAUGGGAGGGAUCAGGUUCACCAUUGGAGGGUUCAACAACUUCGAGCUGGUGCUGAUCACCAACGUGGGCGGGCCGGGGUCGAUCCGGUCGGUGUCGAUCAAGGGGGAGAGGACGGACUGGAUCCAGCUGAGCCGGAAUUGGGGAGCAAACUGGCAGUGCAACGCGCCGCUGGUCGGGCAAGGGAUCUCCUUCUCCGUCACCUCCACCAACGGCCAGACGCUCUACAUGUACAACCUCGUGCCGGCGUGGUGGGGGUUCGGCAUGACCUUCACCAGCAACCAGCAGUUCGGCUAUUAA